UUAGCAGGCUUUGUGUGUAUCAGUAUUAUGUAAACCAUACAUUGAUACUGAAAGAAUGGCCUGCAACAUUGAAAAGAGAAGGUGGGCAGUCAACCUUCAAGUGUUACUAGAAGGUACCGACAAUCACCUUCCCAAUAUAU